UGGGGAAUUUUGGACAAUGGGCGCAAGCCUGAUCCAGCAAUGCCGCGUGCAGGAUGAAGGCCUUCGGGUUGUAAACUGCUUUUGUACGGAACGAAACGGCUCUGUCUAAUACAUGGGGCUAAUGACGGUACCGUAAGAAUAAGCACCGGCUAACUACGUGCCAGCAGCCGCGGUAAUACGUAGGGUGCGAGCGUUAAUCGGAAUUACUGGGCGUAAAGCGUGCGCAGGCGGUUAUAUAAGACAGAUGUGAAAUCCCCGGGCUCAACCUGGGACCUGCAUUUGUGACUGUAUAGCUAGAGUACGGUAGAGGGGGAUGGAAUUCCGCGUGUAGCGGUGAAAUGCGUAGAUAUAGGAAGGAACACCAGUGGCGAAGGCAAUCCCCUGGACCUGUACUGACGCUCAUGCACGAAAGCGAGGGGAGCAAACA
rnacentral:rRNA from 1 species